AAAACUUCAAAUACCCCCAUGUGGUUUCCCAGUUUCUUACUUUAGUACCUUGUGGUUUAAAGUGUAUCAAGUUAAUACUCUGUGGUUUCACACUUUCUCACUUUAGUGCCCUGUGGUUUCUCACUUUAGUGCCCUGUGGUUUAAAGUGUAUCAAGUUAGUACUCUGUGGUUUUAUUUUUUUCUUUUUAUUAUCUAUUUCGGGGUAUUUUUUUCGUUAAAUUAGUGAUAAAGUUAAAACUAAAGAGUACUAAAAUGAAUAUUCGAUAAACCUAGGUAGGGUAUCUGAAGUUUUUUUGUAUAUAAUUUAACGAAAUAUUAAACCACAGGGUACUAAAUUUAGAAAAUGCGAAAUCACAGGGUACUAACCUGAUAUACACUUUCAACCACAGAAUACUAAAGUUAGAAAGUACAAAACCACAUGGUACUAACUUGGUACACUUUAAACUAUAUGGUACUAAAAUGAGAAAGUGCGAAACUACGGGGGGUAUUUGAAGU
rnacentral:lncRNA from 1 species